rnacentral:rRNA from 1 species
AGCGAACGCUGGCGGCAGGCUUAACACAUGCAAGUCGAGCGGGCACCUUCGGGUGUCAGCGGCAGACGGGUGAGUAACACGUGGGAACGUACCCUUCGGUUCGGAAUAACGCUGGGAAACUAGCGCUAAUACCGGAUACGCCCUUAUGGGGAAAGGUUUACUGCCGAAGGAUCGGCCCGCGUCUGAUUAGCUAGUUGGUGGGGUAACGGCCUACCAAGGCGACGAUCAGUAGCUGGUCUGAGAGGAUGAUCAGCCACACUGGGACUGAGACACGGCCCAGACUCCUACGGGAGGCAGCAGUGGGAAAUAUUGGACAAUGGGCGCAAGCCUGAUCCAGCCAUGCCGCGUGAGUGAUGAAGGCCUUAGGGUUGUAAAGCUCUUUUGUCCGGGACGAUAAUGACGGUACCGGAAGAAUAAGCCCCGGCUAACUUCGUG